AAAUUUUAGACUUGUUUGUUAGGCCCAGUUUUGGCCUAAAAUUUAUAGAAGCCCGGUCGGAAUAAAAAGUUAAAACUUGAGCUCGGCCUAGCACUUAGUAAUUUUUUUAAAAAAUAUUAUACAUCAAAAAAUACUAAAAACAUUAAAAUAAAUAUUUCCCAACAAAGUGAAAAUAAAUUUUAAAAAUAUUUAUACUUGAAUAACACUAAGAUAGGUGCAACUUAACAAGUAAAUACCUCUAAAAUAGUAACAAAAUU
rnacentral:lncRNA from 1 species